rnacentral:misc_RNA from 1 species
GAAAUGCGAUACUUGGUGUGAAUUGCAGAAUCCCGUGAACCCGUCGCGCGCUCCGCUCCGCCUUUCGCGGGAUCCCCGACCCUGAGGCGGCGCAGGCCGCUCGCAUCGCGACCCCAGGUCAGGCGGGACCACCCGCUGAGUUUAA